rfam:Triticum aestivum genome assembly, contig: Triticum_aestivum_CS42_TGACv1_scaffold_112490_2AS
CACAUACUCCCUCCGUUCGGAAUUACUUGUCUCGGAAAUGGAUGUAUCUUAGGUUCGCUUAUAUGACACAUACGUAUUUCCGAGACAAGUAAUUCCGAACGGAGGGAGUACGUA